rnacentral:rRNA from 1 species
AUUGAACGCUGGCGGCAUGCCUAACACAUGCAAGUCGAACGCGAGUAGGGGCAACCUUUCUUGAGUGGCGGACGGGUGCGUAAUACGUAGGAAUCUUCCCUAGAGCGGGGGAUAACCCGGGGAAUCUCGGGCUAAUACCGCAUAAUCUCUACGGAGCAAAGGGGGGUCGCAAGACCUUGCACUUAAGGAUGAGCCUACGUCGGAUUAGCUUGUUGGUGAGGUAAAGGCUUACCAAGGCGACGAUCCGUAGCGGCUCGGAGAGGACGACCAGCCACACUGGGAAUGAGACACGGCCCAGACUCCUACGGGAGGCAGCAGUGGGGAAUAUUGGACAAUGGGGGCAACACUGAUCCAGCAAUGCCGCGUGUGUGAAGAAGGCCUUCGGGUUGUAAAGCACUUUCAGUGGGGAAGAAAUGCUAACGGUUAAUACCCGUUAGCUAUGACGUUACCCAAAGAAGAAGCACCGGCUAACUCUGUGCCAGCCGCCGCGGUAA